UACAGAGGGUGCGAGCGUUAAUCGGAAUAACUGGGCGUAAAGGGCGCGUAGGUGGUUUAGUGUGUGUUAUGUGAAAGCCCCGGGCUUAACCUGGGAAGUGCAUAGCAGACUACUGAGCUUGAGUACAGUAGAGGGUAGCGGAAUUUCCAGUGUAGCGGUGAAAUGCGUAGAUAUUGGAAGGAACGUCAAUGGCGAAGGCAGCUGCCUGGACUGAUACUGACACUGAGGCGCGAAAGCGUGGGGAGCGAACAGG
rnacentral:rRNA from 1 species